AUGGGGAUGUUGUUCUUUUUAACAGGCAACCGAGUCUGCAUCGGAUGUCUAUUAUGUGUCACAGGGCAAGAAUAAUGCCUUGGAGAACGUUGAGGUUCAAUGAAUCGGUUUGUAACCCAUAUAAUGCUGAUUUUGAUGGUGAUGAGAUGAACAUGCACGUACCACAAACAGAGGAGGCUCGGACAGAGGCUAUUACAUUGAUGGGGGUAC